ACUCUCCGCUUGCUCUCUCGGCGGCCCCACCACGAUUCACGAUGCACACUUGGUAGCGAUAGGUGUGCGCGAUAUGUCUCGGGGAACCGGUGAAAUCGUUUUGAAGAACGCCGAUCUCCCUGAUAAAGGAAAAAUAAAAGAAACAUCGAAUAAUAUCGAAUUACAAAUUCUCAUCUUGGAAUUUCAAAUAACGGGAAUGGAUAAGUAUGAAGAUUCUGCAUAUACAUAGUUGCAAGUAAUGAUUCACAAUAAUUCUGAUCAAUCCAUUACCUGGAACACCUUUAAUCAUUCAAUUACUGUUAGCAACCCACGCUAUUUGCAAGAUUGAAAUUGCAUAACCCUAAAUCAUAGUGAUUAUAACAUUCUAACGGUACAAUUACAUUUGACAUUAAUGCUAGAUAUAUAGAUAUAUCUAUACACACCCUCUUAUAUAUGAAUUAUUUAGGCCAUGUAUGUUCAUAGCUACUUUAUUAAAGAAGAACAACUGAAGAAAACAAUAGCUAUUUGAACCUAAUAAAAUAAAAUUUCUAAAUAAAUUUUUUGUACAUAUACAAAAAUGUACUCAAAAAUGCGUGUAACUAAUGCAUAAUAAGAUUCAAUGUCCAUUUACGUGUGUAGUAUCAAUCUUUUUAAUUUUGCUAAAAUUCAUAAUAAAAUCUGAGAAAAUAAAGUUAAUUGCAGCAAUGUAAAAUAAGGAAGCAACAGUUUUGUAACUGUGAAAUAACACGUUUUCAAAUGUGUGGGUGAAUAAAAUGGUAAAAACUUAUAUCUAA